GAUUCCACCAUCUGCCAAGUUGGGAUUCGAACCAGGACUUCAGUCGUUUGUUUUAAUAUUUUGGAUAAAAUUUAAAUACAUUAGGAUAUUAAAUCAGAAUAAUUGAGGCUGGGAUCUCAAAAGCAAGUUUUUACAGUCAAUGGAGUCAUCGGGAUCUGAAUAUCAUUGGCAUUUAACUGUGAAAGGAGAAAGAUUGUAUUGAAUUCCGAUGCCACCAUCAGCCAUGUUGGGAUUCUAUCCCUAAUCCUCGGAACAUUGCACAUGUCACUCAUCUGGCAGGAAUACCAUUAAGCCAUUGCCUCCCUUUUAGCAAUGUUUAAAAGAAAGUUCCAUCAUUCUAGGUGUACAAUGUGAGAUAAAAUACUGCAACGUCCAUGUGUCAGCCUCUCCGAAAGGUCAAUCAACAGAAAUUUGUUUAGGGCCAAAUAUUUCACUUUUUUUUGGGGGGGGGGUUUAUUAAACAAAAAUGAAUCCAAAUAAAAAUCUUAUGCCACGGACAUGUAAUUUCUGAAGCCGGAUGGGGAUUACAGAGACAG